AAUGAACGCUGGCGGCAUGCCUAACACAUGCAAGUCGAACGAGACCUUCGGGUCUAGUGGCGCACGGGUGCGUAACGCGUGGGAACCUGCCCUUAGGUUCGGCAUAACUCCCCGAAAGGGGUGCUAAUACCGGAUAAUGUCUUCGGACCAAAGAUUUAUCGCCUUUGGAUGGGCCCGCGUUGGAUUAGCUAGUUGGUAGGGUAAAAGCCUACCAAGGCGACGAUCCAUAGCUGGUCUGAGAGGAUGAUCAGCCACACUGGGACUGAGACACGGCCCAGACUCCUACGGGAGGCAGCAGUGGGGAAUAUUGGACAAUGGGCGAAAGCCUGAUCCAGCAAUGCCGCGUGAGUGAUGAAGGCCUUAGGGUUGUAAAGCUCUUUUACCCGGGAUGAUAAUGACAGUACCGGGAGAAUAAGCUCCGGCUAACUCCGUG
rnacentral:rRNA from 1 species